rnacentral:misc_RNA from 1 species
GAUAAAUUUAUCUUAGGGAUGUUUUCUUUGUUAUAAAGGAAUACUAGACAAUCCAAUGAUAUUAUUUUAACAUUAUAGUGUGCUCAGUUGAAAUGUCGAGAAUGAGAGCCAGUUGAUUUUUUAAUUAAAAUGAGUUUUUAUUUUUGUGUUGACUUUUGAUUAUUUUUCAUUGGAUUAUUUAUCCUGCUGGUUGUGUUUGCAUUUUAAGCUCUUUAUUUCUUAAAUUCAAUACAUUAUCAUAAUUAAUCAGAAAAUAAUGAUGAGUGGAUGAAGGAAUCAAACUUCCCAAACUAUUUUGAUAUUUAAAUGUUAUUUUAUUAUUCUUCAACGAGGUUGGAUAACUCUUUAUUUUGGGAAAUGUUAGUGAACAUCAGAGUGUUAGGUUUUGUGCAGGUUCAACCCUUCAGUUAUAUUGCACAAUUUUAAAACAAUGCUUUAUUUUCCCCUUUUUUUCCCCAUUUUUAUUCGGCCGUUAGAUCUUUUUUUUUUAAUUUGACCCUUUGUUGUAUAAAAAUAGAAUCAAAAUAGAUACUACGCUAUCCAGAAGUUUUACAGUUGUAUCAUUAAGGUUGUUUGGGUCACCUCCUUAUUUUUGCGUACAUGUACUUCCUAUCGAAACAAACAAUAAAAUUAAUUAAGUAUG